rnacentral:rRNA from 1 species
UACGGAGGGUGCAAGCGUUAUCCGGAUUCACUGGGUUUAAAGGGUGCGUAGGUGGGUUGGUAAGUCAGUGGUGAAAUCUCCGUGCUUAACAUGGAAACUGCCAUUGAUACUAUAGGUCUUGAAUACUGUGGAGGUCAGCGGAAUAUGUCAUGUAGCGGUGAAAUGCUUAGAUAUGACAUAGAACACCAAUUGCGAAGGCAGCUGGCUACACAAAUAUUGACACUGAGGCACGAAAGCGUGGGGGAUCAAAACAGG